GACGUAGGGCGCGAGCGUUGUCCGGAUUUAUUGGGCGUAAAGAGCUCGUAGGCGGCUUGUCGCGUCGGCUGUGAAAACCUGGGGCUCAACCCCGGGCCUGCAGCCGAUACGGGCAUGCUAGAAUUCGGUAGGGGAGACUGGAAUUCCUGGUGUAGCGGUGAAAUGCGCAGAUAUCAGGAGGAACACCGGUGGCGAAGGCGGGUCUCUGGACAGUUCCUGACGCUGAUGCACGAAGGCCAGGGGAGCAAACGGG
rnacentral:rRNA from 1 species